GAGGCGGACAAUCGCUGGCUCAAGGCUGGAAACGGCGGGCGAGAGGAAAGUCUGGACUUCCUAGGAACAAGAUGACGGCUAACGGCCGCCCGACGUGAGUCGAGGGAGAGUGCCACAGAAAAUAAACCGCCCUGUCCAAGGCAGGGUAAGGGUGAAACGGCGAGGUAAGAGCUCACCGCUUGCUUGGCAACAAGUCAAGGUCUCGGUAAACCCCAUCUGAAGCAAGACCAAGAAAGUGACGGCGCUUUGGUGCGCAAGGUAUUGUUCCUAUACCGUCCAAUAGGUAGGUCGCAGGAAAGUUGGAGUAAUCCAACUUCUAGAUGAAUGAUUGUCGAUUACAAAAUCCAGCUUAUAGCCUCUCUUA
rnacentral:RNase_P_RNA from 1 species